UUAAAAUUUUAAAAAAAUUAUUUGCCUUCAAUGUAAAGUUAUUAAAUGAAUUUUAAUGUUUCCUUACUUAAAAGUUGAAUUUUUUAAAAAUGUAACUGACAUAUUAGUAAUAUUAUAACAUAUUUCAUCUUACAUUGUAAGUCUCUCCAAUAACAAUUGCAAUAUGCUACUACUUGUUGUAUCAUGCAUCUUUUUCUAAAAAAGUCUAGUUUAAAACAGCCUAGCUUUUUGUUAACCAAACUAGUAUCAAGCACUAUAUGAAAGAUUUGAAGAUUUAUAAAGGUUAGUAAAUACCUUGUUUUGAUUACCUUUUUACCACUAUUGACUGAUAAUAGAACUCUGUAUGAGAAUAUUUUAACCAAAAAUUCUCCAAUUAAUUAAAAAUGCUUUUUUUAAAAAAAAAUGUUUAGUUGGGGGAAAGGGAAGGGGGAUGGUCCCUCUCUUUUGACAAUGGAUGCAACACUGAUGUAAAUUUUACCGGGUUAGAUAUAUUUUUCACUUCUUUCUUGUUGUUCUUUAAAUAAACAAUCAAAUAUUUUAUAAUUAAAAUUUUUUUGUGAUAUUAGAGUGUGUUAAAACACGGUCAACACAUUGAGUCAAAACAUGAGUUUUACACGUACCUUCAAUGUUUGGUGGUUGUCCAGUAUUAGUUUAUAAAACCUUUUUUAUACAGAAAAAAAUUUUGUAUUGGGACUUUAGGAAACAGUAGUUGUGUCAUUUUAAUUUUUUAAAUUUUUUUUUAGGUUGGGGGGCGGUUAUUCGCCCCUCCCAUACAUCGAUGUAAACACGACUUAAAUUCGUAAUAGUACCACCACGUAAAUUCUUGUAGAACGUAAUAUUAUAUUGUAUACUAAUAGAGUUCAGUUUAGUAAAGAUAAAAAUAUUUAUGAAAA